UAGAGAUGAGGUUUCACCAUAAUGGCCAGGCUGGUCUUGAACUCCUGGCCUCAGGUGAUCCACCCACCUCAGGCUCCCAAAGUGUUUGUUGGGAUUACAGGCGUGAGCCACCAUGCCUGGCCUGACCUAGUUUUUCAGGUUAACUUUGGAAUAGCCUUGGCUGAAGGGAGAGUCCAUCAGUCAGUUGGGGGGCUUAGACUUCUAUUGUUGGUUUGCAUUGUAAACAGUCCUGUGGUAUCACAAUGAUUAGCUAUGUCUUACACUUUGGGAUCACGUCGUAACCACGGCCUCAAGUAACUGUGGUCUCUUCUUAUGACUUCCUGGCAAGAGGUGGCUCAUGCAGAAAGGAAGAAGUGCAUUGAACUAGCGGAUGCUGCUUUGUUUUCUUGGUCCUGAAACUUUCCAUUUUCUGUAAAGGUAAGAUUCUUAAUGCCAUCGAAGACAAUGGUUUAAAGAACUCAACAUUCACGUAUUUCACCUCUGACCAUGGAGGACAUUUAGAGGCAAGAGAUGGACACAGCCAGUUAGGGGGAUGGAACGGAAUUUACAAAGGUGGGAAGGGCAUGGGAGGAUGGGAAGGUGGGAUCCGCGUGCCCGGGAUCUUCCACUGGCCCGGGGUGCUCCCGGCCGGCCGAGUGAUCGGAGAGCCCACGAGCCUGAUGGAUGUGUUCCCUACUGUGGUUCAGCUGGCAGGUGGCGAGGUGCCCCAGGACAGGUAUGUGGAGAUAAGGCCGCCUGUUCCUUGAUUUUUUUAAGUUGUUUUUAGUUUUUAAUUUUUUUAUGUCAAUAGGAUUUUGGGGGACAGGUGGCGUUUGGUUACAUAAAUAAGCUUUGUUUUUUGUUUUUUGUUUUUUCUGAGACAGAGUCUCACACUCUUGCCCAGGCUGGAGUGCAAUGGCACGAUCUCGGCUCACUGCAACCUCCGCCUCCCAGAUUCAAGUGAUUCUUCUGUCUCAGCCUCCCGAGUAGCUGGGAUGACAGGCAUGCACCACUGUCUCCUUUACCCAUGUGACCAUGUGUCUUGGGGUCUGUUAUGAUUAAAAAGUAAAAACAGGUCGGGUACAAUGGCUCAUGCUGAUAAUCCUAGCACUUUGGGAGGUUAGAUGGGCGGAUCACCUUAGGUCAGGAGUUCUAGACCAGCCUGGCCAAUGUGGUGAAACCCCAUCUCUACAAAAAAUACAAAAAUUAGCCGAGUGUGGUAGCUUGUGCCUGUAGUCCCAGCUACUCAGGAGGCUGAGGCAUGAGAAAUUGCUUGACCAGGAGGCAGAGGUUGCAAUGAGCUGAGAUUGUGCCACUGUACUGCAGCCUGGGCGACGGAGCAAGACUGCCUCAUAAAAAAAAAGUAAGAAAAAUCAACUUAGGAAUGUGGGCUGUCCAGCUGAAUUUGAAGGCUUUGUGUUAACAUCCAAGGUGACAGUGCUGUGUGUAGGGGUGUGUGUG
rnacentral:lncRNA from 1 species